UGGGGAAUCUUGGACAAUGGGGGCAACCCUGAUCCAGCCAUGCCGCGUGAGUGAUGAAGGCCUUAGGGUCGUAAAGCUCUUUCGCCUGUGAAGAUAAUGACGGUAGCAGGUAAAGAAACCCCGGCUAACUCCGUGCCAGCAGCCGCGGUAAUACGGAGGGGGUUAGCGUUGUUCGGAAUUACUGGGCGUAAAGCGCACGUAGGCGGACCAGAAAGUUGGGGGUGAAAUCCCGGGGGCUCAACCCCGGAACUGCCUCCAAAACUAUUGGUCUAGAGUUCGAGAGAGGUGAGUGGGAAUUCCAAGUGUAGAGGUGAAAUUCGUAGAUAUUUGGAGGAACACCAGUGGCGAAGGCGGCUCACUGGCUCGAUACUGACGCUGAGGUGCGAAAGUGUGGGGAGCAAACAGGAUUAGAUACCCUGGUAGUCCACACCGUAAAACGAUGAAUGCCAGUCGUCGGGUAGCAUGCUAUUCGGUGACACACCU
rnacentral:rRNA from 1 species